GCGCGGGUGACUAGAUUUCGUGGGAAUUCGCCAAUUCGGUUAUUCCGUGAAACUCCUUCGCUUUGAAACUUGCGCACAAGUCAAGGAUGGACAUGAUUCCAGAAUCAUCAAAAGCGAAGAAGCGCCGACGGGAGGAAGAUCCUGAACCUGAAAGCAGUGAUGUCGAUCUAACUUCGUCUCUCGAGAGGAAUCUUACGUUUAGCGAUACGCUGGUGGCGCUUCGUAUAAUGCGAGCUCAGUUUCCUCGCAUUGACAAGGUUGCAAUUCAGCCCUUCAUUCUACAAUCACAAUUAUAUAGCAGUGUAAAUGACAGAACACAAGUAGAUAGGGAGUUAGAGACUCUAAGGAGGAAUAAAGUUUUGCGCCUUUUCAAGCUAAAUACUGGGCAAGAUGAUCAUGCUAUAAUGUUUUUGGAUGACUAUCUAGUCCAGAUAGAACGAGUUGUGAAAAGAAUGGAAGAAAAGAAGCAAGGCAAGCUUGAAGUUCUUGAGUGGUUUAAAACACGUGUUAUUGAUUCAAAGCUGGGACCUAGCAUUGAACAUCAAGAGCUUUGUAUACUCUUGUCCCAAGGGGUAAAGGUGAAGGAUGAGCACAUCUCCUUAUUAAUCAACAGUGGUGUUCUUACCCGCCAACUGAUUGAUCCAAACAUGUAUUGGUUUGCAAUUCCAAAUAUUGGCUCUGUACUAAAGGGUCUCUCACAGGGAAGAAAGGAGCUUCUUUCUCUUCUAAAUCGUAGGAGAUAUAAAGAGAUGAUGUUGGCGCCUCUGGAAAAGAAGCGACUUAGAUUCUCUCCACUUGAUAUGAGAUUUCACCUUCGUGACCUGAUUGGCUCUGGUCACCUCAAAACUGUUUGCACACCAACUGGCUUAGUCGUUCGAGUUUCCAGAGAUUGAAAUUCAGGAGCAUCCCUGCUCAGACUAUUACUGUGUUAUUUGCUCCUAUCUAAAUUGUAUAAUCGAAGAGGGGUUUGGUUACUAUACUUCGUUUACCUGCUCUUAGUAAAUCUCCAUAUCCAGGUUAGCAAAAUCAGAAGAUACUACUCCAGGCGAUCGCAUGCAUUGGCAUACAAGAAGAUGAGGUGAUCAUUCAGUGGGUGACUUAGACACUGUAUCUUGGGAUUAAGGAGUCAUACAAAUGGUUAGAGAGGAAAAUAAAUAUAAAAGAUCUUUCCAAGACAGGCUGAGCAAGAUUUUGCCUGCUGUCUACACAACUAGAACAAGCUCAUGCUAACAAGCACGCUCGCAAUCGGAGUCUAGAACCAUGUCAGUAGUAGGCAUGUAGCCAAUCUUAUUUGUAAGUUGAUCCUGUGAUGGGAGCAUCUAUGAAGAGUAACUAUAGAUUCUGAUGAUAGUUUUUGCAUUUUGAGUCAUCUAAGACAGCUCUUGUUUGCUCUGUAUUGAUCCCCCUCUACCCAUUUGUUUCUUAAGCAAAGCUUCUACUGUCGUCUCUGGCU